rnacentral:rRNA from 1 species
UAGUCCACGCUGUAAACGAUGAAUACUAGGUGUAGGGGGUAUCGACCCCCCUGUGCCGCAGCAAACGCACUAAGUAUUCCGCCUGGGGAGUACGACCGCAAGGUUGAAACUCAAAGGAAUUGACGGGACCUGCACAAGCAGCGGAGCAUGUGGUUUAAUUCGACGCAACGCGAAGAACCUUACCAGGACUUGACAUCCUCUGAAUCUUUCAGAAACGAGAGAGUGCCUUCGGGAGCAGAGAGACAGGUGGUGCAUGGUUGUCGUCAGCUCGUGUCGUGAGAUGUUGGGUUAAGUCCCGCAACGAGCGCAACCCUUAUGUUUAGUUACCAGCGGAUAAUGCCGGGGACUCUAGACAGACUGCCGGGGAUAACUCGGAGGAAGGUGGGGACGACGGUCAAAUCAUCAUGCUCCUUACGUCCUUGGGGCUACACACGUGCUACAAUGGUCGUUAC